UACGUAGGGGGCAAGCGUUGUCCGGAAUUAUUGGGCGUAAAGAGCUCGUAGGCGGUCUGUCGCGUCUGCUGUGAAAACUCAGGGCUUAACCCUGAGCUUGCAGUGGGUACGGGCAGACUAGAGUGCGGUAGGGGAGACUGGAAUUCCUGGUGUAGCGGUGAAAUGCGCAGAUAUCAGGAGGAACACCGGUGGCGAAGGCGGGUCUCUGGGCCGUAACUGACGCUGAGGCGCGAAAGCGUGGGGAGCAAACAGG
rnacentral:rRNA from 1 species